rnacentral:rRNA from 1 species
UCGAGAAUUUUUCUCAAUGGGGGAAACCCUGAAGGAGCGACGCCGCGUGGAGGAUGAAGGCUUUCGGGUUGUAAACUCCUGUCAUUUGAGAACAAGUGCCGGUACGUAACUGCUACCGGCUUGAUAGUAUCAGAAGAGGAAGGGACGGCUAACUCUGUGCCAGCAGCCGCGGUAAUACAGAGGUCCCAAGCGUUGUUCGGAUUCAUUGGGCGUAAAGGGUGUGUAGGUGGCGCCGUAAGUGGGGUGUGAAAUCCCGAGGCUUAACCUCGGGACUGCAUUCCAUACUGCGGUGCUUGAGGACUGGAGAGGAGACUGGAAUUUACGGUGUAGCAGUGAAAUGCGUAGAUAUCGUAAGGAAGACCAGUGGCGAAGGCGGGUCUCUGGACAGUUCCUGACACUGAGACACGAAGGCCAGGGGAGCAAACGG